UCUUCGGAGAGCCUGCACAGGUGCUGCAUGGCUGUCGUCAGCUCGUGCCGUGAGGGUGUCCGGUUAAGUCCGGUAACGAGCGCAACCCUCGCCAUAUGUUACAAGUGUCAUAUGGGACUGCCGAUAUAAAGUCGGAGGAAGUGGGAUGACGUCAAGUCAGCAUGGCCUUUAUGUCCGGGGCUACACACACGCUACAAUGGCCGGUACAAUAGGUAGCAAGACCGCGAGGUGGAGCCAAUCCUUAAAGCCGGUCUCAGUUCAGAUUGCAGGCUGCAACUCGCCUGCAUGAAGUUGGAAUCGCUAGUAAUCGCGGAUCAGCAUGUCGCGGUGAAUACGUUCCCGGGCCUU
rnacentral:rRNA from 1 species